rnacentral:rRNA from 1 species
UACAGAGGGGGCAAGCGUUGUUCGGAAUUACUGGGCGUAAAGGGCGCGUAGGCGGCCUUCUAAGUCGAACGUGAAAUCCCCGGGCUCAACCCGGGAACUGCGUCCGAUACUGGAAGGCUUGAAUCUGGGAGAGGGAUGCGGAAUUCCAGGUGUAGCGGUGAAAUGCGUAGAUAUCUGGAGGAACACCGGUGGCGAAGGCGGCAUCCUGGACCGGUAUUGACGCUGAGGCGCGAAAGCCAGGGGAGCAAACGGG